GGUUUGGAAUGGUCCGAAAUAAAGUCCUUUGCUGCAGGAUCGGCAGGGGCGCUCAGGUCUGACUGAGAUCUGUUCUUCGGAACGGAAGCGCCGUCAACAUAUCCCUUUCUACGAUGAGAUCCGGUUAUCGGGUAAUUUAUGAUUACCUGCUGACCGGACCGGGUUCGGGCUAGUAGCUCAGUUGGUUAGAGCACACGCUUGAUAAGCGUGGGGUCGGAGGUUCAAGUCCUCCCUGGCCCACCACCAUGUCUUUAAGGCGUGGUCGACCGGAAAGGGGGCGUAGCUCAGCUGGGAGAGCACCUGCUUUGCAAGCAGGGGGUCGUCGGUUCGAUCCCGUCCGCCUCCACCAGGAUCGUGGUGCCGCUGAAAGCGGGCGCCUGCUUGGUUUAUCUCAUCGUGAAGGGUUUAAGAGAUCGGAUAACCCUUUGUCCUGACUGCAAUGCGGUGGGGCAAAGAUGUUGUCUGGUGAUGUGUUCUUUGUCAGUGUGAAUCGGUUGGUGCGCAUGUGUGCGUGUCAUUUUUUCUGGGUUGGUCUGACCCUUAAAGCUGCUGUUAUGGUGGUUUUAUGUUAGAAAAAGUGGCGUUAGCGUUCAUAUGCGAUUGAAAUAUGACGCGCUCGGAUGAGCUGUCAUGUCUCAGAGCUGAAGUGUUCGGAACGCAGGUUCUGGCAUGGAUGGUUUCUGUGCAUGGGAGUGAGUGAGUGCGAGAAGGGCAUUCG
rnacentral:tRNA from 1 species